rnacentral:rRNA from 1 species
GACAGAGGGUGCAAACGUUGUUCGGAAUUACUGGGCGUAAAGCGCGUGUAGGCGGCAACGCAAGUCGGAUGUGAAAUCCCAUGGCUCAACCAUGGAAGUGCACCCGAAACUGCGUCGCUAGAGUCCUGGAGAGGAAGGUGGAAUGCUUGGUGUAGAGGUGAAAUUCGUAGAUAUCAAGCGGAACACCGGUGGCGAAGGCGGCAUCCUGGACCGGUAUUGACGCUGAUGCGCGAAAGCCAGGGGAGCAAACGGG